rnacentral:rRNA from 2 species
UACGGAGGGUGCAAGCGUUAUCCGGAUUCACUGGGUUUAAAGGGUGCGUAGGUGGGCAGGUAAGUCAGUGGUGAAAUCUUCGAGCUUAACUCGGAAACUGCCGUUGAUACUAUCUGUCUUGAAUAUUGUGGAGGUGAGCGGAAUAUGUCAUGUAGCGGUGAAAUGCUUAGAUAUGACAUAGAACACCCAUUGCGAAGGCAGCUCACUACGCAAAAAUUGACACUGAGGCACGAAAGCGUGGGGAUCAAACAGG